rnacentral:rRNA from 1 species
CUCAGGAUGAACGCUAGCUACAGGCUUAAACACAUGCAAGUCAGGGGAAACGAUAGAGAAGCUUGCUUUUUCAGGCGUCGACCGGCGCACGGGUGAGUAACGCGUAUCCAACCUGCCCCAACCACUUUGGGGGAUAACCUUGCGAAAGUAAGACUAAUACCCAAUGACGUCUCUAGGAAGACAUCUGAAAGGGAUUAAAGAUUUAUCGGUGAUGGAUGGGGAUGCGUCUGAUUAGCUUGUUGGCGGGGUAACGGCCCACCAAGGCUACGAUCAGUAGGGGUUCUGAGAGGAAGGUCCCCCACAUUGGAACUGAGACACGGUCCAAACUCCUACGGGAGGCAGCAGUGAGGAAUAUUGGUCAAUGGGCGAGAGCCUGAACCAGCCAAGUAGCGUGCAGGAUGACGGCCCUAUGGGUUGUAAACUGCUUUUAUAAGGGAAUAAAGUGAGUCUCGUGAGGCUUUUUGCAUGUACCUUAUGAAUAAGGACCGGCUAAUUCCGUG